rnacentral:lncRNA from 1 species
UAUGAAAUACAAAUGAAUGGUGUAUUAUUGGCUUCUUAGAAAUCAGGACUGGAGGUUACUCCUCACAAUGUGCUCUGAUUAGAACAGGAGGUCAGACCAGCAGUGUCUCCUUCUGUCUCUGUAACCUGUGAAUGAUUUGAGCCAUAUAAAAAUUACGCUAUUUUCUACUAAUUUCCCUGCUUGACUUUGCUGAUAGGGAAGUCUGCUGCUGUUACUCAAAUACCUCAUCUAGUUUUUCUAGGGAAGUUUGGAUGCUGCAGCUUGUCUGGCCAUGGCAAUGGCUUCAUCCUUCACUGAGUGCAGCCAUCUGGGGAGCUGCAUGGAGAAACUUCUUUGGAAACCCACAGGGUGGUUUGUGAAAAUGUAGCUGUAGUGCAUC